GGUUCCUUAGCUCAGUUGGUAGAGCAAAGGACUGAAAAUCCUUGUGUCCGCAGUUCAAUUCUGCGAGGAACCACCA
rnacentral:tRNA from 2 species